UACGUAGGGGGCUAGCGUUAUCCGGAAUUACUGGGCGUAAAGGGUGCGUAGGCGGUCUUUCAAGCCAGAAGUGAGAGGCUACGGCUCAGCCGUAGUAAGCUUUUGGAACUGUAAGACUUGAGUGCAGGAGAGGAGAGUGGAAUUCCUAGUGUAGCGGUGAAAUGCGUAGAUAUUAGGAGGAACACCAGUAGCGAAGGCGGCUCUCUGGACUGUAACUGACGCUGAGGCACGAAAGCGUGGGGAGCAAACAGGAUUAGAUACCCUGGUA
rnacentral:rRNA from 1 species